UACGGAGGAUGCAAGGGUUAUCCGGAAUCACUGGGCGUAAAGCGUCUGUAGGUGGUUUGCUAAGUCCGCUGUUAAAGCUUGAAGCUCAACUUCGAAAAUGCAGUGGAAACUAGUAGACUUGAGUGUGGUAGGGGUAGAGGGAAUUUCCAGUGAAGUGGUGAAAUGCGUAGAUAUUGGAAAGACCACCAAUGGCGAAGGCACUCUACUGGGCCACAACUGACACUGAGAGACGAAAGCUAGGGGAGCAAAUGGG
rnacentral:rRNA from 1 species